rnacentral:rRNA from 1 species
UACGGGGGAUGCGAGCGUUGUCCGGAUUUAUUGGGUUUAAAGGGUGCGUAGGCGGUUUGAUAAGUCAGUGGUUAAAUUAUGCAGCUCAACUGUAUGCAUGCCAUUGAUACUGUCAGACUUGAGACUUGAGGGGGUAAGCGGAAUUGGUAGUGUAGCGGUGAAAUGCAUAGAUACUACCAGGAAUAUCGAUAGUGAAGACAGCUUACUACGGAAGUUCUGACGCUGAGGCACGAAAGCGUGGGGAUCAAACAGG